rnacentral:lncRNA from 1 species
UACAAGUAUCUGCAUUUUGUCGAAAGUUCUUUGGUAUAGCCCCCUCUCCAUCAAAGUAGAAGAGUACGUGUUGAUUUUCUCUCCCUUAAUCGGAUUGAUAUCAUACAGAAGCUGCUACAGAUGAAUGAAUAUGGUGCAGUUGUUCCAUUCAUUAUUUUGGGAGCAUGAGUUUCAGUAAACAAAAUGCAGGUGUUCGUUGCAUGUGUCCAUUCAAUAAGGGCUUCGGCGACGGUCCGCUACUGGUGGCCGCCUCACCGUGGUUAAGUUUGGCAUAGUCACAUGUGUCGCUUGCUAUUGUGGCCGGUCUCCAGGUACAUAGCAUUGUUCCUAUUCAUGCCUGUGUAUGUAGUGUUGCUCCGUUAAAUCACUUGUUCAUCUUGUUUGUUCCAACCACGCUGGAUGCCUAGUACUAAUAGCUUGCACUAGCCUCUACAUGAGCAUCUCAAGCCGUUGUUAAUAGAUGUGAAUAGUACUGAUUGUUUUGCUUGAGUUGGCGUCUCAGAUUGUACCGGAGCAUGUGUUUUCACAAAUAGUUCAGGUUUAGAAUUGCCAAAAGUUCGAACAUAGUGAGAUGGAUGGGAAACUACGAGACAAAGAUGAUAUUGGACAAAGCAAAAUUAGUAAAAGAAAGAAAACGCUAGAAGUUCAACUAGGGUAACUUAAAUAGUUCAUGAAAAAUAAAUAUAAAAGUUCAAAGAAGAGGGUCGGAAAAGAUUUGGGAAAAGACACACACAAAAAACAUGGAAAAGGUCAGUUAAAAAAUACUUGCCAUAGUUAAGAGUUUAUUUGGAGUGGUUAGCAAUUCAGUAACUAGAAAAAGGGUACAUUAGUUCAAAUAUACUUGCCAUAAAUUUCGUAUUUCGUAUUUCACCACCAAGUAAACUAAAAGCUCUCUGUUUGAUAGAAUAUCUCAUGUUAUAACUUAUAAAUUUGUCUAGAUGCAAGGAACAAAUCUCCGGCCAACUUUUGCUUCAUUGAAAUAAAUCAAGCUGUGUUUUGUCGACAACAUGGUGGCAGCCCUUCACUGAAAUAAAUCAGGUAUGUUAGCCGCAAGAGUUCAAAAAUCAGUUGUUUUUCAACUGAAUAAAACGUGUCACGCAAGUUCAAGUAUACCUACAGUAGGAGUUCAAAAAUCUGAGAAAUGAAGCUCAAACCAAGUUCAAAAAUUGUUUCCUUCAUAAAUUAGUUGUUUUUAGUUAAUUCGUUGUUAUGGACAAUACAAAUACACACUGCUCUGUAGUACAUGUGUGUAUUGUAAUUGUAAUAGUGCUUUGGAGUUCAGAAAAAGGUAACAAUAAAUGUUCAUAGAAGAACCCAAAACAUUCAGUAGUUCUGGAAACCCAAAUUUCAGUUCAACAUGUUUUCUAUCAUCAGCUCAUUAGAACCUCGGAAACGGUUCAAUGUGUGUCUUCAAAAAAAAUAGUGUGGCUAUUUAUAUUAAAAAAUGCUACUUUCAUUCGUUUGGUAGCCUUCUUUAAUUAUCACUUAAUGUUCAGCCUUUCCAAUUGCAGUUUUCACAUCAGGUGACAUGCCAAAAAAAUCUAACCUCACAACUCAACGCAGGGUCAGACCAGAUGACAGUUUUCAUGAUGUAAUUUAUCAUCAGUUCAUAAAGUAAACACAAAUACAGUUUCAUGUGUGUUAUAGAAAAAACAAUUAGGUUUAUACAUUAUAUAGUAGUUCAAUAUGCAGGGGCUUCGGCAGCAGUUCAACAAAAAAGAUUUUACAUCAGUUCAAACGCUGAUAGUUAUUUAGUUCAAACAUGAUUUUUGAGAAAAUUAUUCCCCAGCUAAGUUCGAAAAUGUCAUCCCGUGAAGUUCAGAUAUUGAUGUUGAUUUCUAUGUAGAAGACAAGUUUAAGGAGCUGACAAUUCUAUAGGGAAUUACAUGCCAAGAAUUUAAAGGGAUGAAAUAACCUUGGUUGUUACUUGACAUUGGUUCUACUAUAACCGAAGCUGCAUGUUGCAAAUUCGGGAUGCAUAAGCUAGCAUAGUUAUGCUUCUGAAGGUUCAACUUUUUCUUGACAAACACACAGCAGGUUGUUAUGCUUCAGAAGGUUCAACUUUUUUUGGAUUUCUCUUUGGUGUAUGAGGACUAAAAUAAUUCAUUCUUUCCAGAUGUUCUUGUAUUAGUUCAGGUGUUGCCCCUCCGCCUCCUUCUGGUACCCUCAGCGACGCUCCCCGCCACCUUUCAGCGUUGUCCUAGUGGGUGGUCCGACACGGCUGCGUCCAGCGGUCCAACACCGCCACCGGAGGCCGUUCAACGUCCCAGCGCCUCCUUCCCAGUCAUUGUGAGGUACGCCCUGCUCGAAAUCUUUCCUCUCCAUCUCCCGACGGUGAAGAUUUUCAUGCCCCGCGUUCGAACUGCCAUUUUAUUUUGAAUUGAACUAGGGCUGCUCUUGAUUCAGACCUGAGGGAAGAAGGAACAACCUCUCUCUUGUAGGCAGUAAUAUUGCUCUCUCAUAUCAUCUCUCAUCUCAUAGGCAGUAAUAUUUUGAUGAAUGUGUUACUCAAAAAAACAAAAUGAUGUAUUGACAAUCAGUAGCUUAGAGAGAGUAGCAUAGAGAAAAGUUGUUGUGUUCUGGAUAACAAACAACACAUGUGACAGUAAGUCCAGGUAUUUCUACAUGAGGAGUACAAAAUUACUUUUACUGAGAGUUCACUUGAAUCCUUGAUAGCUACUGGCCAUAGGAACUUAACCCAGAAAAAAUGUGCAAAAAAGAACCAUUCUGUACUACCAUUAGUAUGUUGUGUAAUGUUUUAUUUUUUGCUACCCUAGCAAUUAAUUAGCACAGCUUUUCAAGAGUUGCACUCUCAUUAUUUAUUUCUUGUACUGUUAAUUUUAUUUUCAGAACCGAACUUGUACAUGGUACAUAAGUUCCAAUAGUAGCUUCUGUUGCAAAAAAAUUACAUAAUCAAGCAUUCUUGCUGUGUUGCAUUUCUUUCCAAAUAUAUAGAUUGCCAGUUUUGAAUCCGAUUCUCAAAUAGACAAUCGUAAUUCUAUUGCCAGUUCUGAAAUAAAGCAAUGUUUGUGUAACAGUACCAUAACAGCACCAAAACAAAUCCUCAUCCUUGGUAACUUACUGGCUUUGAUCUUCUAGGGCAGCAUUAUGAGAUCCUUGGUUUACUUACAGGUAGGCCAUCAGUUCAAACCUAACACAGAAACUCCUUGCUUGGCAUUUGAGCUCUUGUUUUCUCAAGACUAGUACUAGUAAAUGUUAUUUCACUAGGUAUUCUUUCCUCAGUCCAUAGAGAAAUGUGCGAAUAGUUCGAUGUGUGUUGGAGAGAUAGUUUUGUUUUAUAUAUCAUAAGAAGAAAAGAUCAUGUUUCCUAAGGGGAAAAUCAAAAACAUUAUUAGCAACUCGCUAUGUAUUCUACCAUCAGUUCUGUGUGUAUUAGAGAGAGGGUUCGGUGUCUCAUUGUUUUCACUUUCCCAGAAAAAUAUGUUUUAUUGCAGAUUAGGAACAUUGUAUUUACAUUUUUUUAAACAAAGACUUCAUAUAAGUUCGAAAGAAAAAGCGUUGAAAGUUAAAUCGAAAGCUCUCACCACUUUCCUUUCUAUUUCUUAAUUAUUGUAGGACAUUUCAAGCACUGAGCAAAAGGGAUUAGGAUAAAUUGCAGAAGUAGUUGUAGGAUGCUAAAGUUCUUUUGACUUUCCUUUCUCUCAUUCUUCAUGUACCGACUACCUGCUUCAUUUUUUCUGGUUUCAAAAGUAUAAGGGGAAGAUGUAGAGGGUGGACUACUCAGGGCAUUGCUGCUGGAGUUGUGGCAUAUUCAUGAGCUCCUGUAGAGCUACCGAUCCAUCGAGCCGCUCAUGUCGAUGAAAUGCAUGCUAAUUAAUUCCCUUGAAAAUGCCAUUGGUGACCUCAAUCUUCUUUCUUGACAGGAGACAAGAGGGAGCGUCAGCACUGAUACAGGGAGAUGCACACCAAACCUGUCGCCCGAGGCCGUUUACCAUUGCAGCGCCCCUUCCCCAGCCAUCAUGAGGUACACCCUACUCAAAAUUUCUCCUCUCCAGCUCUCGACUGUAAAGAUCUUCGUGCCUCCAUUCGAACUGUCAUUUUAUUUUGAAUUGAACUACGGGUGCUCUUCAUUCAGACCUGAGGGAAGAAAGGCAGAACCUUUCUUUCGUAGGCCGUCAUAGAUGGAUCGGCAAGGUUUUUUCCGGCUCACUGUCAGUGAUAAUAAACAAGUCAUUAGUCAAGAACAUUCGUUGGAUAAUGAAUUAGAUGUUCUAGGACCUUCAUAGGUUGUACCGGGAAUUAGGCGAGCACAUUCGUGGGAUAAUGAAUUAGGCGACCAACAGUCCAACCCGACUGCCCCAAGCAGUUCACCGUCGCAGCUGCUAGGCUGAUUGCGUCGAGCCUCCUGCCACUGCCGGUGGGGCUCCAUCGCUGCACUGCCCAUACCGUUCACCGCCGCCACACCGGGUCAUUCAAGGACACAACCCGAAGCAGUUCUACCCUGCGGCUCAAGAGGCACACACUUCGCCCCUCCAUCCCAGGAGAGCAGUACAUCUCCUUGUGCACGAGCAGUCCAUUGCCAAUGUACAUAGAUGAGAGGAAUUAAGUUCAGGAAGAUUAAAGGGUAAUGUUUAGAGAUGAGGCUGAGGGAUCUGGUUCAACACCCAUCACCCUUGUUUGGUUUUAUCAAUACUUGAUAAAUUACUAGAAGUUCAAAACAAGAUGUAGAAAUUCAUGUUUCCUGUGUAUAUAAGUUGUAGAAGUUGAUGCUUAAUAUUCUAGUUCGUGCUCCUCUGCAGGUCAACCUCCUGGGAUACACGAAGUUUCAGUUUGUCGAGAGGCUUCCUGGAGGUUCAAAACAUUUCACUUCACCUUUUUAGGCUUUUUCAGUACACCUUACAAAGUGUGUUUCCUUUCAUCAUUUUUGUCUACUUAAAAAGAAGUGUAGAAGCUUUAGGAAAUACCCCCAAAAUUAUGUGUGCCCUCAGCACUCUUCUACGUGCUUAUUCUAAUGCUUAUGAGAAUUAUUCUUCAAGGUCAUAAUUUGGAACUAGAUAACUUUUCAUAGAUGAUUGUACUGAAGCUAGGUGUUUAACAGAAUUAUUUCUCAUAAGUUUGCAACUCACCUUGGUCUGGGUUUACAUCUCAUCCACACCAGUUCACGAAAAAAGUUGGAACUUGCAUCUAUAUUUAUGUUUCCAGUUACCUUCGGUUAAUUGUACUGAACUUGUCUAAUUGUAGCUUACUAGUACUAAACUUUUGUGCCUGUGCUACCUUUUGUAGAUAGUUUUUGCCAUGUGCUUCUAUUGAACUUGUGUGUGGUUGCUUUUGAACUGUUCCUUAGUGAUAAUUCCUGGAAUUUGAAAUAAAUGCAUAUGUGAUGCACAGUUGCAGAUUGUAUAUCAUGGCAAAGACUAUUUCAAUGGGAGGUUCAACCAGAAGAGUUCAAAACACAAGAACUCUAGGAGUUCGCAGAACAAAAUCUACUGUGAGAGUUUGCACUUGUGUGUGCAGUGCAUGUGUUAGGUGUAUGUCUUUUGUGUAUGAUCUGGACACUGAAGAAAGAAAACACAAGGACUCGGUCCAUGUAUAAUUUUCUACCGUUUUUGCACUAAAAUCUUUGGUCUGAAAUGUAUGAGUUUUGUACAAUAUUUGGCUUUGUAUGUUGUAUCUAUAACAUGUGACUUAUAGCGCCACUGUUUAUCGAAAGAAAAAUCCAGUUACAGCCUCUGCAGUUACAUUAUUGUGGAAUUUUUUACUGUGAAUAUCAUACCUCUAAAAAUUUAUUGCACAAAAAUAACUUCAGUGGUUAUUUUGAGAAGUACAAACUCUCUGGUACGAUAAGUUCGAGUGGAAGCUCCCAG